rnacentral:lncRNA from 1 species
CUGGUCUGGGCAGGCCAGCAGAGGCAGCAGGACAUGGUGGUCAAUGGGUUAUCUGAGUAGAGGUACAGCACUGUUCUGGUAAUAUGUGACAAAUCGUUCCCUCUCUCUCCUUGAGGGAUAAUUGGAGUGAAGGGCCAGAUUUCCAGCAAAAGGAUUGAUUUCCUUCUAAUGAAGUGGGGGUCACACGUGCAGCAAAGAGCUCUGUGAACAAAGGCUGAGGCAUGCAUACUGAUGCAUGAUGAAG